GCAACAGCAAGAUGGGACAUUCACAUGCAGUUUCUACACUAAGAUAUUGGAAGGAGGAGGGGGAACCCCCACAUGCGAAUGAGAAACGUAAGAGGUAGAAGGAAAAAUCAACUGAGAAAUGAUGGAACUUUGGAGAAGAUGACCACAAAAGGACUUUCCAGGCAUUAUCUUUCAUGGCUGAUAACAACUGUUAAUAUUCAUCAAAUACUUAUAUCUGCCAGUCUUACCCUUCUAGAUCUUCUCUUGCCCACCCUAAGUUCCUGAAUAAAGAACACCUAGGAAAUUCAUUUGUUUAUUCUGGAAGAUUCUAUCAAAAGUAUGACUGAGACUAUCUCCUUUUAACUCCUUGAAUCACUUUCAUUUGAUGACUGGGACCAAGAAUUCUUGUUGGGCUGGGCGGCAGACAAAAACCUUGUCGCUGACAUUAAACACACCUUGAAUGUCGCCUCCAGGAGGAGGAUAAAUCCAGAUGGAGCCUGUGGUGGAGAAGACAAAGGGAGACCCAGUCUCCAACACUAAUCACAGCUACAGCUCUCCUUGCCCCUCUCCACUUCAUUCUCCCCAGAGGAAAAAAAGGGGAGAGGAGAAAAGAAGAGGAACACAAUGAAGUUUAAAACCAAAAAGAUAUAAGGAAGGAAACAGAGGCUAAUAGAGCCUGGUUACAAACUAUUCCAUGGUCCGCAUCCCUGAGUAGCAGGAAAUGUCCUUCAAGCAUCAUCUUGUGACUCCAUUCAACACAGUUACAAAUGCUGCCUGUACAAUUUACAUACAAACACAUAAAGAAAAUCCCUUUAAAUCAAACUUCUUUCCUCAGGCACCAAUAAUCCUAUCUCCCUGUAAAAAGAAUAAGCCUAAUGGUGUAGGUGAGUUCUAACAAGCUGGGUUCUUAUUCUCCUGAAUGAGAACAGGAUGCUCCUAAAAAAUCCAAGGGUCUUUGGAGGUGAACAUGGGGAAAUGGACCAUGGAAAUGAAAUCCCUCUACUUACUGAAUG